rnacentral:rRNA from 1 species
UACAGAGGGUGCAAGCGUUAAUCGGAAUUACUGGGCGUAAAGCGUGCGUAGGCGGUUGGCUAAGUCUGAUGUGAAAUCCCCGAGCUUAACUUGGGAACUGCAUUAGAUACUGGUUGGCUAGAGUAAGGUAGAGGAAAGCGGAAUUCCAGGUGUAGCGGUGAAAUGCGUAGAUAUCUGGAGGAACACCGGUGGCGAAGGCGGCUUUCUGGACUUAUACUGACGCUGAGGCACGAAAGCGUGGGGAGCAAACAGG